GGGGCGGAGCGGGGCGGGCGGGCCACCAUUAGAAGGCGGCCGCGGCGGAGAGAGGAGCUCCUGGAGCGAAGCUGUGGCGCGUCACCGGGCCGGACCGGCAGCGCGCUCUGCCGCGAUUCGAGAGGAAAAGUCUAACAGUCUACUGUAAGCGUGUAAAAGCUCAAGACUGCCUUCACUCAGUCUGUGAUUAUAAUUGACUCUGCUUAUUAAAUUAAAAUGUCGUCAUGGGUCAAGGUUACCAGGUGCCAAGUUCAAAAACCUGUUGUCAACAAAAGGUGAUGGCCACACCAGGGAUGAUCGCGGAGAGAAGCAAU
rnacentral:lncRNA from 1 species